CCUACGGGAGGCAGCAGUAGGGAAUUUUGCGCAAUGGGGGAAACCCUGACGCAGCAACGCCGCGUGAUCGAUGAAGCCCUUCGGGGUGUAAAGAUCUGUCAGUGGGGACGAAACCUGACGGUACCCACAGAGGAAGCACCGGCUAACUCCGUGCCAGCAGCCGCGGUAAUACGUAGGGGGCAAGCGUUAUCCGGAUUUACUGGGUGUAAAGGGGGCGCAGACGGCAGCACAAGCCAGGAGUGAAAGCCCGGGGCCCAACCCCGGGACUGCUCUUGGAACUGCGCGGCUGGAGUGCAGGAGGGGCAGGCGGAAUUCCUGGUGUAGCGGUGAAAUGCGUAGAUAUCAGGAGGAACACCGGUGGCGAAGGCGGCCUGCUGGACUGCGACUGACGUUGAGGCCCGAAAGCGUGGGGAGCAAACAGGAUUAGAUACCCGGGUAGUC
rnacentral:rRNA from 1 species